rnacentral:rRNA from 1 species
GUGGGGAAUAUUGGACAAUGGGCGAAAGCCUGAUCCAGCCAUGCCGCGUGUGUGAAGAAGGUCUUCGGAUUGUAAAGCACUUUAAGUUGGGAGGAAGGGCAGUAAGUUAAUACCUUGCUGUUUUGACGUUACCGACAGAAUAAGCACCGGCUAACUUCGUGCCAGCAGCCGCGGUAAUACGAAGGGUGCAAGCGUUAAUCGGAAUUACUGGGCGUAAAGCGCGCGUAGGUGGUUUUGUAAGUUGGAGGUGAAAUCCCCGGGCUCAACCUGGGAACUGCCUCCAAAACUGCAUGACUAGAGGACGGUAGAGGGUAGUGGAAUUUCCUGUGUAGCGGUGAAAUGCGUAGAUAUAGGAAGGAACACCAGUGGCGAAGGCGACUACCUGGACUGAUACUGACACUGAGGUGCGAAAGCGUGGGGAGCAAACAGGAUUAGAAACCCCUGUAGUCC